UACGGGGGGGGGCAAGCGUUGUUCGGAAUUACUGGGCGUAAAGGGCUCGUAGGUGGCCAACUAAGUCAGACGUGAAAUCCCUCGGCUUAACCGGGGAACUGCGUCUGAUACUGGAUGGCUUGAGUUUGGGAGGGGGACGCGGAAUUCCAGGUGUAGCGGUGAAAUGCGUAGAUAUCUGGAGGAACACCGGUGGCGAAGGCGGAUCUCUGGGCCAUUACUGACGCUGAGGAGCGAAAGCGUGGGGAGCGAACAGG
rnacentral:rRNA from 1 species